UGGUGUAAAAGGCAGGUAACACACAGUUACGUGUGUGAUGGGAUUCCUCGUGGUGCAGACCCUCAGCCUUCUCGAGACCCGAGUCCCGCAGGUCGGGUCCUCUGUUUCCCCCAAUCACGUGACUUCAGAGCUAACAGAUGAGAAAUGGGCAGGGCUCUUUCUGGGGCAAGGCAAACUUCCUUGAUGAAGAAGAGGGGCUGACUUGGAGGGAAGGGGUUCUCCCGACUUCCUGCAGGCUUCAUGGAAAUGAGAAUGUUAGCGGGACCCGUGUAGAACUCCCAGCUUCACUGCAACCCCAGUGAAAUGAAAUCUGCGUCUCUCUUGCAACUCGGAGAUCCACCUAUGAGCUGGCAGAUAAUUACAGCUGUCCUUGGAGCCGAUCCAGCCUCCCUCCGCUCCCAGUUCAGGAAUCGGUGAUCAUGGAACAGAGUUAGUUUUUGUCUCGUUCGGUGUCUCGGGGCUCCAGUCUUUAAAUCCCGGGGCCCGGCUGAAUAAAAUAACACCAAGA